rnacentral:lncRNA from 1 species
AUGACCCAGCACGCUGUACGGUGCAUUUUCCUUUCCACUUACCAUGGUGCUUUUAGCACCAUUAUGGCUUCUUUCCAACAGUCAUUACGCUUUCUGGGCUUUUUCUAAGAGGACAGGGAUUUGUAUUUAUUCAUCUUAUUUACCCCACAGCUUCUAGAACACUGCCUUGCACACAGUGGACAAUGACGAGCUGCUGAAUAAGUGUGCGAACCGAGGAGAAAUGCAUGUGUUGCUUACAAUGUUUCCUCUGAAUGCUGCCAACAAUGAGAAACAAGUAAUAGUUUCUAUCAGUGCUUUUCAGCCCAAAUCUUGCGGACCCCACAUAUGUUCAAAAGGAAGAAGCGACUGGGGAAUGAAUUCUCACUUGGCCUAAAGUCAACAGGGAUGGAAUAAAUUUCCUUUCCUUUGUUAACCAUUAAAUGAUCCACUAGAAUUUGGGCAUGAAAGGCUGUUUACUACUUUCUCCAGUAAGAAUUUUAGGACAUCUUGAUGUCCUACUUAAAGUGAUAUGCUCUCUAAUUUCAAC